rnacentral:rRNA from 1 species
UUACAACAUAAAAACAUAAUCGAAUAAUAAAAACCAUUGUUUAAAAUUCAAAAAUUUUGGCGGUAUCUUAUAACACUAGGGGAACCUGUUACUUAAUACGAUAGUCCACGACAUAUCAUCCAUUUUUUGUAUAUCAGUCUGUGUACUGCUGUCAUCAAUAAACCUAUAAAAGUUAGUUUAUAAUAAUAAUCAACAUUAUCUAUGUCAAGUCAAAGUGCAGCCUAUAAAAUGGGGUAAAUGGGUUACAAUCAAUAUUUAUUGAUCAUGAACAAUAAAACAAUAUUUAUUAAUAAAGUGGACUUAGAAGUAAUAUACCUAAAACUUAUAUAAAAAUUUUUCUAAGAUAUGCACACAUCGCCCGUCACUCUCGUCUAAAGACU